GCCUUCUUGGCUCAGCUGGUUAGAGCGCAGGUCUCAUAGCUUCCUACAGCUGUGCGUGAGCAUUUGAGUGGGCUCAUUUAAUCCUGAGGUCGUCAGUUCGAUCCUGACAGAGGGCA